UAUUGUUAGACACCCUCACCUGGGCUGGGCGGAAGAUGCCCUCGAACCAAGCAACCGUGAAUGCAGCCGAGUACGUGAUCACGUCCUGUGAGUAAUAAUGCGCGCGACGGAGUAAGGAAGUCUUCGGACGGUGAUGUAAGCGCCUAGAACUGCACACGCGCCCGACCUCACUUUCGCCAACAAGCGGCAGAUGUGCCACUGCAGCGCUGAAGUUGUCCCGCAUCGUCCGUGCCCCCACUGCCUCUUCCCCCUGCUGUCCUCCUGUAUUCCCACCCAUUCCCAAGCCCUGCUCUGCCCUGAUGCUGUCUCCUAACACCAAUCCUGCGGCCCUCCAGCCGUUUGUGGGCUGAGCCCCCGAGCGCAGCGAUUUAUUGCCAUUUGUUGCCUGCUGUGCUCGUGCUUGACAGCGGGACGCGGCUGGACACAUGGCGGACGGUGACUGUGCAAACCGACCCCAGCUAUGUGCCUAUGUCCGAGAGAUGAGGCAGUACCGAAACCUUCGGCUUGUGACAUGUACCAACGUGGCAUGGGAACAGCCCAAUCUUCCCUUGAGAGGGUGAGCCACCUUUCUUGUCCUGUUACCCAGCCCUGCAGCCUUCUGGCCCGGCCUGCCCCUCACCGAGCUCAUCAUAGUGCCACGCCCGCACAGGCGGUCCAGGCUCCAGUCCAAAAAGGGGUUGCCAGUGCGCGCGAACUGCAUGUGGCCCGCCUGAGCAGCAGGCAGCAGAUGCAAUGGUGCAU
rnacentral:lncRNA from 1 species